UACGUAGGGGUCGAGCGUUGUCCGGAGUUACUGGGCGUAAAGCGUGUGCAGGCGGCUCAUUGCGCCCGGCGUGAAAGCCCCCGGCUCAACCGGGGAGGGUCGUCGGGGACGGGUGAGCUUGAGGGUAUCAGGGGCAGGUAGAAUUCCCGGUGUAGUGGUGAAAUGCGUAGAGAUCGGGAGGAAUACCCGUGGCGAAGGCGGCCUGCUGGGAUACACCUGACGCUGAGACACGAAGGCGUGGGGAGCGAACGGG
rnacentral:ncRNA from 3 species